AAUCUCAUCUUCAGUUAUUUUAGAUAAAUUUGGCGCAAACUUUUUCAUUCCCUCUCACUCUCUGACUUCUACUUCUGAAAGGAGAAACUGGGACUCCGACCAUCACUCGCCACCGCAACGGAUCUCCCUCGCAGAACCACCGUUUAGCGCGGCAAUCAGACCUUCAAAAGUUAUCUCUCAAACCCCAUAACCAGUUCACACUCAAUCCGCCCUAAUUUUCGGUCAUCGUCUGUGGUUCAAUCGAGAGCCUAUUCCUACCUGCUCGAGGCAUACCAUUUGAGAGCCCAUUCAACAGCUGAUUUACAGCAUAUUUAGGCGCUUGAAGGGAAAACGACAAACUUGAAAGAUCCUUAAAAAGCAGCUUUCUAGGCUGCUGUCCAACGUCUCGCUGACUGAUGAAGGGGAUAAAUGGAGCUGGUCUUUGGACUCAAAUGGGUUAUUUUCGGUCAGUGGGUUGAGGAGGUGCUUGGUACAAAACAACCAAACGGCUGCAGCUACUGUCUAUUCGUGGAAUCGAUGGAUUCCGCUCAAGGUUAACUUUCUAGUGUGGAGGUUAAACUUGAAUAGACUAUCAACGCGGGUGUCUUUGUUAAGGAGAGGCAUACAAGUGCCAUCCGCUUUGCUUUGUGUGAGUUGUGUCGAGAUGAAGAGGAGUCUACCGAAGGCGUUUUCUGCACGUGCCCGUUCACGCAAAAGGUUUGGGAUGGAAUUGCGAGGUGGUGCAGACUUCCAGCCAUUUUUUUUUGGCUUGGGUGAUCUGGUAAAUUAUCAUGUACAUGUGCUGGGCUCAAAAGUCUGGAAACAAUUGAUAUACUCAGGUCUUUCAAACGACGAUUUGGUGUAUUUGGUCGAGCAGAAAUAACUUGUUGUUUGAGCGGGGGAAGUGCUCGCCUAAAAGGGUGCUGGAAGAAACAAAGACAUGGGGUUUUUGUGGAUAAAACAUAGAGCCAAAGCGACGACAUUGACAUGGGAAAAGUGGAGUGAUUUUGAUGUUUCUUGCUUUGGUGUGUACUGUGUAAUGUUGUUGUACUGGUGUAUGCUACUUCACGUGGUUAACACAAUUUUGUUGACCCGUUUUAUAAUAAAAAUUAGUUGGCCGUUUACCCAGACAAAUGUUAUAUAUUUACGACUAGUUAC